UACGUAGGGGGCAAGCGUUGUCCGGAUUUAUUGGGCGUAAAGAGCGUGUAGGCGGCUUUACAGGUCCGUUGUGAAAACUCGAGGCUCAACCUCGAGACGCCGGUGGAAACCGUAAAGCUAGAGUCCGGAAGAGGAGAGUGGAAUUCCUGGUGUAGCGGUGAAAUGCGCAGAUAUCAGGAGGAACACCAACGGCGAAGGCAGCACUCUGGGCCGGUACUGACGCUGAGGAGCGAAAGCGUGGGGAGCAAACAGG
rnacentral:rRNA from 1 species